UGGGAAUUUAGCCCCAAAAGCCCAAACACCAUUCGACAUCGAAGAAAAUUGACGGAACUUUUUCACCUUUAGUUCUG
rnacentral:lncRNA from 1 species